rnacentral:lncRNA from 1 species
CACCAGCAGACCUAUUUCUCAAUCAUAAUUUUUCAUUUCUCUCUCUUUGCCAAAGUCUUUUACAGUUCCUUGCCACUGGGGGCGAUCCAACACAGAUAUUGCCGUGGCCAGUCCUUGUGCUUUGCAAGCACAGUCCUGGGGAGCUCGUGACAGUUCAACCAGCUAACUUGAAGAAAGAAAUGAAUACAGUCAGGCCACAUAAAAACAACAUCUACUGUGUUUCACUAGAAAAUGAGAUAUUUAUCUCUGAGGAAGAAGGAAAGAUGAUAGCAACUUUAAGAUUUAAAUUGAUCCAAGUAUAUGAUGCUAAAGAUCCUAAAUGGUUUCAAAUUGCGGAAGAUUAUGUUGUAAUUUGUAUAUAUUGCUUCCGUAGGCUGCUGAGGAAGCUAAUUGCUAUACAUCCUGUGGUUAAGUUAUCAUCUUUCUCAAUGACUGAAGAUCAUAAUUUUAUCUUUAGGCAGAAGAACAGAGGGAGUGAACAUGUCUCAGGACUAAGACCAAGACAGAGGGACUCAAAACCAGGUAAGAAUUGCAGCAGAAGCAAUGAAGACUCUAACAGACUGGUUUUGGAACAUUUCCAGCUUGGAAGAAGGGGGAAUAUGAUAGAUAGCUGCAAAGAUCUAUGUAGCAUUGAGAGUAUGGGUAGGGACUGGCCAUUCCCUGUCUCAGUGCAGGAGCUAGGAACACUGAAUGAAGCAGGCAGGAUGAGGGGAUUCUUCCUGCAUCAGGGACUCGACCUGUGCAACGUGACCUAG